UGGUUCUGGCAUCGAUGAAGAACGCAGCGAAAUGCGAUAAGUAGUGUGAAUUGCAGAAUUCAGUGAAUCAUCGAAUCUUUGAACGCACAUUGCGCCCUUUGGUAUUCCUUAGGGCAUGCCUGUUCGAGCGUCAUCUAAAACCCUCAAGCGCCGCUUGGUGUUGGGCGCCUUGUCCCGCCCCCCUCCGGGGGCGCGGACUCGCCCUAAAAGCAUUGGCGGCCCGCGUGAUCGGCUUCGAGCGCAGCAGACUCGCGCCUCGCAAGACCCCCCGCGCGGGCGUCCACGAAGACACACCCCAAGUUUGACCUCGGAUCAGGUAGGGAUACCCGCUGA
rnacentral:misc_RNA from 1 species